rnacentral:rRNA from 1 species
GGCGUAAAGGACGCGUAGGCGGCUAGAUAAGUCAGAUGUGAAAUCCUAUGGCUUAACCAUAGAACUGCAUUUGAAACUAUUUAGCUAGAAUGAGGGAGAGGCAGAUGGAAUUAG